CAUGCAAGUCGAACGAGAAGCCCCUUCGGGGGUGGACAGUGGCAGACGGGUGAGUAACGCGUGGGAAUCUACCCUAGGGUCUGGGACAACUACUGGAAACGGUGGCUAAUACCGGAUAAUCUCGCAAGAGCAAAGAUUUAUUGCCCUUGGAUGAGCCCGCGUAGGAUUAGCUUGUUGGUGAGGUAACGGCUCACCAAGGCUACGAUCUUUAGCUGGUCUGAGAGGAUGAUCAGCCACAUUGGGACUGAGACACGGCCCAGACUCCUAUGGGAGGCAGCAGUGGGGAAUAUUGCGCAAUGGGGGAAACCCUGACGCAGCCAUGCCGCGUGAAUGACGAAGGUCUUAGGGUUGUAAAGUUCUUUCAAUGGGGAAGAUAAUGACGGUACCCAUAAAAGAAGCCCCGGCUAACUCCGUGCCAGCAGCCGCGGUAAUACGGAGGGGGCUAGCGUUGUUCGGAAUCACUGGGCGUAAAGCGCGCGUAGGCGGGCUGAUUAGUCAGGGGUGAAAUCCCGGAGCUUAACUCCGGAACUGCCUUUGAUACUGUCAGUCUUGAGAUCGAGAGAGGUAAGCGGAAUUCCGAGUGUAGAGGUGAAAUUCGUA
rnacentral:rRNA from 1 species